AAUCCCUAGAUCUCUCCUGUUGCUCCCCACGCACGCCGGCGCCCACGCCUCCGACCGCCGCCCCGCGCUGCCCGGGGCUACCGCCGGUCUAUCCCACCGCUGCCCCACGCCGCCCUUCCUCUGUAGCACCGCCCCAUGCUGCCCUUCCUCUGUAGCACCGCCCCACGCCGCCCUGUCCCUACAGCGCAGCCCAACUCCGUCACGCCUCUCUCCGCCGCCAGCUCCACACCCUCGUGAUCUCUCUCCGGUUGGCCGCCUCUUUCCAACAUCCCUGGCCCGACCUCCCCAUCUCCACCGUCCAGCUCACGAAGACACACGCAGCGGCAGAUUUGGAUGGGGGCAGCGUGCGCCUGGGCAAGGGCAUCUCUCUCUGUCUUUGGCUGGGCAGGGGCACAGAAGCGGCUGAGUUAAACAGAGGACAACUGUUUGUAACAUUGAGCCGAUGAAGAGAAGUAGCAGAAUAUUCGACGCCACCUUAGUGCAUAAGGAGGAAAAAUGGCAAGCGCAAGCGGAAAAGCUAAAGAUGGUGGGGUCACGGAGGAACAACUGAAAGCGUUUGAGUAUAAAUACAGAAAAGUAGGACCAGGGAACAAAAUGAAGCAAGUCAUCCUGCUAAAUCAAAACUAUAGUAUAUCCAUCCACAUAUCCUAACUGUAGUAUAUCCCUGCAGCACACUCUGUUAUGGGCAUAAAUAAACACAUAUGCACGUAUUCAUUAUCAAAACACAAACAAUAUAUAUGAUAACAAAACAGUAGGCAGUGAUGUUGUCAACAUGUCUAGUCAUCAUAAAUCUCCUUACCUUUUUUCUUAUAGUCUCGCAGUGCUAUCACCAAAAAGAAUCGCUCCAAUGAAGUGCCUCAUACAUCCGGGAGCAAGAGUC